AGAUCGUGGCCCUGCACAGAGGAUUUCUGAUCUUCGGGCUGCCCCCGUGUUUCCCGGCCAAAACGGAUAUGAGGACCCUGGCUUUCAGUAUCGGGCAAACACCGUGUUCUCUCACUUACCCAGGAUGCUUUCAUUACAAGGGCUUCCAAGUUCAGGUACAGAACAAUGUAAAAUGCAUAACUUCAGCUGCAGCCGUUAUUCCAGAGUUCUGAAGAGCAGCCAGCAGAAAUUGGUCAAGAAUCUAGCACAGUGUCUGGUGCACAAAAGACGCUUAGAACUGCUUGCAGGACCAGCUGAUUGACUGACUGAAUGAGUGAGCGGAUGGGUGCCUUCUGUGGUAGGCAGCUUUGUCUCCUGAGCUGCUGUCCCAGUAUCAUCAGUCUCCCAUUGCCAGGAAAUAAGGAGGUCUUGCUCACCAUAUGAUUUCAUCUACUCUAUUCUGCACCUCUCCAAAUCUCAUUGUCAGCUACCAACCACAGCCUAAUAAAAGAAGAUAAGCA